rnacentral:rRNA from 1 species
CACGUAGGGGGCAAGCGUUGUCCGGAUUUAUUGGGCGUACAGAGCUCGUAGGUGGUUCGGUAAGUCAGGUGUGAAACCUCCAGGCUCAACCUGGAGACGCCACUUGAUACUGCUGUGACUGGAGUCCGGUAGGGGAGCGUGGAAUUCCUGGUGUAGCGGUGAAAUGCGCAGAUAUCAGGAGGAACACCAGCGGCGAAGGCGGCGCUCUGGGCCGGUACUGACACUGAGGAGCGAAAGCGUGGGGAGCGAACAGG